rnacentral:tRNA from 1 species
GGGGCUUUAGCUCAGCUGGGAGAGCGCUUGAAUGGCAUUCAAGAGGUCAGGGGUUCGAAUCCCCUAAGCUCCACCA